CAUGAUGACGGAGGUUUUGAGGUACAGAUGUUUUAGCCUGAUUACUUCGAGUUCUCAGAAAAUUGGUGGGAUUGUGUGCAUCGGGGAAAUGCAACAGUGAUUCACGUUACCCAGAAAGGAUACUAGAAGUAAUGUUUAUCCCAUUUCCAAACCCCAAAUCACAUAAAGAUUAAUGUUUACGUUGGAUAAAGGCGUGCGGUAGGCCCCACAGUAAGAGCAGAAUGGACCGGCACACAAAAUUCAUUGGAUAUACUUGUAACAGCAGCACAAGUCAGAGAAUUUACAAGACCAGUUAACAACAGCAGAAAAUGCCUUUCAUCAACAGAACAUACUUAAUCAUCGUCUGCAACUCCAGUUAUCAAUGGAAGCCCAAGAUUAACCCCACCAACAGGCCACCCCUUUUGACAUUAACAGUGCUCUACAGCAAGAGAAAAAAAAAACCAGGGUUGUUUUUAUAUUAUAUCAAUUUGAGACAUGCCACAUUUUGUACUUUGUUAGAGGUUUUUUUUAUACAUCUGAGCAAAUUCCUCAGUGUGUAAAAAAAAAAGGAGGGGCAUAACAAAUAUGACAAAACAAUCGCAGUUGUUAUUAACACUGAUGAGGCUGAGACAUAAUUUUGAAAUCAAGGACUUGGCAUCAAGAUUUUGUAUUUCAACACAGUGUAUCAGUGAUAUAUUCUGUGCCUGAAUUGACCUUAUGUUGUGUUAGGUUGUGUUUCAAUAUAGUCCUAUAGGAAUGAUAUUAAGGAAAUCACAGAAACAAUCUUCUUUAAAACUACAGUUACAAAUUAUACAUUCUGACUACAAAUCAGCUACAACCUAAAGGGGACUUGUGGAUUGUGAUCCUUCAGGGGAUACAAUGGAAACUAGCUGUAUGCUAAUUUGUGUUAUCUUGGAUAAAUAAAGGCUAUUAUUAUUAU